UACGUAGGGUGCGAGCGUUGUCCGGAAUUAUUGGGCGUAAAGAGCUCGUAGGCGGUCUGUCGCGUCUGCUGUGAAAUCCCGAGGCUCAACCUCGGGCUUGCAGUGGGUACGGGCAGGCUAGAGUGCGGUAGGGGAGAAUGGAACUCCUGGUGUAGCGGUGGAAUGCGCAGAUAUCAGGAGGAACACCGAUGGCGAAGGCAGUUCUCUGGGCCGUAACUGACGCUGAGGAGCGAAAGCGUGGGGAGCGAACAGG
rnacentral:rRNA from 1 species